UAAGAAAAGCAGCCUCAUGGAAGAACUCUUUGGAUCGGGCUACGUCUUACAAAAUGACCAGUCAAGCCGUGCUGUGACGAAAGGAUCUGAGGAGACUCUGAAAAGUAAGGAGACGCUUCACCUGCCUCCCAGUCAGGCCUCCGCCAGCAAUGCUUUUGGAGACUCUAAAGUAACUGUGCUGAAAGGAUGAAGCACAAUGGCCACAACUUUGUUACAGACUAAAAUCCAACAGGUAAUUCCAACACCACCUGAAAACAAAGAAAUCCAACAUGAGAGAGCAUGCCAGCAGCACUGCCCACACUGCCUGCCUCUGCUACCUUUAACUUGCAGGAAAUAAGGGUAUUUCAAUUCCUUUUGAGUCCUUCGAAAGACUAAGUUAGUGUUUUGUCGGUCCGAAAUAGUCAGACUUUCUAUAGCAUCACAGGGCUGUGUUCUUUCCUAAGCAGGAAUUACACUGAACAAUAGAUACUGGUUUGAAUUUCCCUUUCCUGCCAGAGAGAUGUGUAUUACUAUUUAUGAUAUUAACAUUAUAAGGCCACCCUGUAAGACUACUUAUUUUUCCUUCCUCAAAGAAGCAUUAUAAACAAGGCAAGGUUUGCCCAUGCCUUUCUUGCCCCGCUGACGAUGGAGAGACACCUUCACCCGCUGUCCGCAGGCUUGAGAGUGGCCCAUGGGCUCUGCAGGAGGCUUGGAAGGGCGGCCUGUUGCUCCUUUGGUCAGCAGCGCAAAGGCCCUGGCCUGGGCCCAGCUGUGUCACAGGAAAGGGAAGCAGAAGGGGAGGGGACGGGGGUCAUGGCUAAACUGUAAGUCUUUGAAACAGUCAUUGCUUGCGACUAUUAAUUAACCUCCAGCAUAAUCAAAAAUUACAGCCGAAGACCAACUGAUACAGAUGUGUGCCACAGCAUUAUCUUUAAUACCAAAUGUUAGGACCUAAAUAAACAUCCCUCAUCAGGGAAAUCAGCAAAUUACGACACAUUCAAAUGAAGAAGAGCUAUUAAAAAUUCCUUAAUAAAGAAGUUUAUUGAUAUGGUG